rnacentral:rRNA from 1 species
UUAAGUUAUUAAGGGCGCACGGUGGAUGCCUUGGCACUAGAAGCCGAUGAAGGACGUUACUAACGACGAUAUGCUUUGGGGAGCUGUAAGUAAGCUUUGAUCCAGAGAUUUCCGAAUGGGGAAACCCAGCAUGAGUUAUGUCAUGUUAUCGAUAUGUGAAUACAUAGCAUAUNNNNNNNNNNNNNNAGAAGGCACACCCGGAGAACUGAAACAUCUUAGUACCCGGAGGAAGAGAAAGAAAAUUCGAUUCCCUUAGUAGCGGCGAGCGAAACGGGAAGAGCCCAAACCAACAAGCUUGCUUGUUGGGGUUGUAGGACACUCUAUACGGAGUUACAAAGGACGACAUUAGACGAAUCAUCUGGAAAGAUGAAUCAAAGAAGGUAAUAAUCCUGUAGUCGAAAAUGUUGUCUCUCUUGAGUGGAUCCUGAGUACGACGGAGCACGUGAAAUUCCGUCGGAAUCUGGGAGGACCAUCUCCUAAGGCUAAAUACUCUCUAGUGACCGAUAGUGAACCAGUACCGUGAGGGAAAGGUGAAAAGCACCCCGGAAGGGGAGUGAAAUAGAACCUGAAACCGUGUGCUUACAAGUAGUCAGAGCCCGUUAAUGGGUGAUGGCGUGCCUUUUGUAGAAUGAACCGGCGAGUUACGAUUUGAUGCAAGGUUAAGCAGUAAAUGUGGAGCCGUAGCGAAAGCGAGUCUGAAUAGGGCGUUUAGUAUUUGGUCGUAGACCCGAAACCAGGUGAUCUACCCUUGGUCAGGUUGAAGUUCAGGUAACACUGAAUGGAGGACCGAACCGACUUACGUUGAAAAGUGAGCGGAUGAACUGAGGGUAGCGGAGAAAUUCCAAUCGAACCUGGAGAUAGCUGGUUCUCUCCGAAAUAGCUUUAGGGCUAGCCUCAAGUGAUGAUUAUUGGAGGUAGAGCACUGUUUGGACGAGGGGCCCCUCUCGGGUUACCGAAUUCAGACAAACUCCGAAUGCCAAUUAAUUUAACUUGGGAGUCAGAACAUGGGUGAUAAGGUCCGUGUUCGAAAGGGAAACAGCCCAGACCACCAGCUAAGGUCCCAAAAUAUAUGUUAAGUGGAAAAGGAUGUGGCGUUGCCCAGACAACUAGGAUGUUGGCUUAGAAGCAGCCAUCAUUUAAAGAGUGCGUAAUAGCUCACUAGUCGAGUGACACUGCGCCGAAAAUGUACCGGGGCUAAACAUAUUACCGAAGCUGUGGAUUGUCCUUUGGACAAUGGUAGGAGAGCGUUCUAAGGGCGUUGAAGCAUGAUCGUAAGGACAUGUGGAGCGCUUAGAAGUGAGAAUGCCGGUGUGAGUAGCGAAAGACGGGUGAGAAUCCCGUCCACCGAUUGACUAAGGUUUCCAGAGGAAGGCUCGUCCGCUCUGGGUUAGUCGGGUCCUAAGCUGAGGCCGACAGGCGUAGGCGAUGGAUAACAGGUUGAUAUUCCUGUACCACCUAUAAUCGUUUUAAUCGAUGGGGGGACGCAGUAGGAUAGGCGAAGCGUGCGAUUGGAUUGCACGUCUAAGCAGUAAGGCUGAGUAUUAGGCAAAUCCGGUACUCGUUAAGGCUGAGCUGUGAUGGGGAGAAGACAUUGNNNNNNNGUCUUCGAGUCGUUGAUUUCACACUGCCGAGAAAAGCCUCUAGAUAGAAAAUAGGUGCCCGUACCGCAAACCGACACAGGUAGUCAAGAUGAGAAUUCUAAGGUGAGCGAGCGAACUCUCGUUAAGGAACUCGGCAAAAUGACCCCGUAACUUCGGGAGAAGGGGUGCUCUUUAGGGUUAACGCCCAGAAGAGCCGCAGUGAAUAGGCCCAAGCGACUGUUUAUCAAAAACACAGGUCUCUGCUAAACCGUAAGGUGAUGUAUAGGGGCUGACGCCUGCCCGGUGCUGGAAGGUUAAGAGGAGUGGUUAGCUUCUGCGAAGCUACGAAUCGAAGCCCCAGUAAACGGCGGCCGUAACUAUAACGGUCCUAAGGUAGCGAAAUUCCUUGUCGGGUAAGUUCCGACCCGCACGAAAGGCGUAACGAUUUGGGCACUGUCUCAACGAGAGACUCGGUGAAAUCAUAGUACCUGUGAAGAUGCAGGUUACCCGCGACAGGACGGAAAGACCCCGUGGAGCUUUACUGUAGCCUGAUAUUGAAAUUCGGCACAGCUUGUACAGGAUAGGUAGGAGCCUUUGAAACGUGAGCGCUAGCUUACGUGGAGGCGCUGGUGGGAUACUACCCUAGCUGUGUUGGCUUUCUAACCCGCACCACUUAUCGUGGUGGGAGACAGUGUCAGGCGGGCAGUUUGACUGGGGCGGUCGCCUCCUAAAAGGUAACGGAGGCGCUCAAAGGUUCCCUCAGAAUGGUUGGAAAUCAUUCAUAGAGUGUAAAGGCAUAAGGGAGCUUGACUGCGAGACCUACAAGUCGAGCAAGGUCGAAAGACGGACUUAGUGAUCCGGUGGUUCCGCAUGGAAGGGCCAUCGCUCAACGGAUAAAAGCUACCCCGGGGAUAACAGGCUUAUCUCCCCCAAGAGUUCACAUCGACGGGGAGGUUUGGCACCUCGAUGUCGGCUCAUCGCAUCCUGGGGCUGUAGUCGGUCCCAAGGGUUGGGCUGUUCGCCCAUUAAAGCGGUACGCGAGCUGGGUUCAGAACGUCGUGAGACAGUUCGGUCCCUAUCCGUCGUGGGCGUAGGAAAUUUGAGAGGAGCUGUCCUUAGUACGAGAGGACCGGGAUGGACAUACCUCUGGUGUACCAGUUGUCGUGCCAACGGCAUAGCUGGGUAGCUAUGUGUGGACGGGAUAAGUGCUGAAAGCAUCUAAGCAUGAAGCCCCCCUCAAGAUGAGAUUUCCCAACUUCGGUUAUAAGAUCCCUCAAAGAUGAUGAGGUUAAUAGGUUCGAGGUGGAAGCAUGGUGACAUGUGGAGCUGACGAAUACUAAUCGAUCGAAGACUUAAUCAA